GUGGGAUUAGCUCAGCCGGUUAGAGCGUCGGUUUGUGGCACCGAAGGUCGUGGGUUCAAAUCCCAUAUUCCACCCCA
rnacentral:tRNA from 1 species